GAUGAACGCUAGCUACAGGCUUAACACAUGCAAGUCGAGGGGUAACGAGAGGGAAGCUUGCUUUCCUUGUCGACGACCGGCGCACGGGUGAGUAACGCGUAUCCAACCUGCCCCCAACUAAGGAAUAACCUUGCGAAAGUAAGACUAAUACCCUAUAAUUUCCUCAGAUGACAUCUGACGAGGAAUAAAGAUUUAUCGGUUGUGGAUGGGGAUGCGUCUGAUUAGCUUGUUGGCGGGGUAACGGCACACCAAGGCAACGAUCAGUAGGGGUUCUGAGAGGAAGGUCCCCCACAUUGGAACUGAGACACGGGCCAAACUCCUACGGGAGGCAGCAGUGAGGAAUAUUGGUCAAUGGGCGGAAGCCUGAACCAGCCAAGUAGCGUGCAGGAUGACGGCCCUAUGGGUUGUAAACUGCUUUUAUACAGGAAUAAAGUUAGCCACGUGUGGUUAUUUGUAGGUACUGUAUGAACAAGGACCGGCUAAUUCCGUGCCAGCAGCCGCCGUAA
rnacentral:rRNA from 1 species